rnacentral:rRNA from 1 species
GAUGAACGCUAGCGGCAGGCUUAAUACAUGCAAGUCGAACGGGAUUCGAUGUAGCAAUACAUUGAUGAGAGUGGCGCACGGGUGCGUAACGCGUAUGCAACCUACCUUUAACUGGGGCAUAGCUCCGAGAAAUCGGGAUUAAUUCCCCAUAUUAUUCAUUUGUGGCAUCACAGAUGAAUCAAAGCUCCGGCGGUUAAAGAUGGGCAUGCGUGACAUUAGCUAGUUGGUGAGGUAACGGCUCACCAAGGCUACGAUGUCUAGGGGUUCUGAGAGGAUGAUCCCCCCACACUGGGUACUGAGACACGGACCAGACUCCUACGGGGAGGCAG